CCUACGGGAGGCAGCAGUGGGGAAUCUUGCGCAAUGGGGGGCAACCCUGACGCAGCCAUGCCGCGUGAAUGAUGAAGGCCUUAGGGUUGUAAAGUUCUUUUGCCCGUGACGAUGAUGACGGUAACGGGAGAAUAAGCUCCGGCUAACUUCGUGCCAGCAGCCGCGGUAAUACGAAGGGGGCUAGCGUUGUUCGGAAUUACUGGGCGUAAAGCGCGCGCAGGCGGUUCGAUAAGUUAGGGGUGAAAUCCCUGGGCUCAACCCAGGAAUGGCCUUUAAGACUGUCGAGCUAGAGGACGAGAGAGGUGAGUGGAAUUCCCAGUGUAGAGGUGAAAUUCGUAGAUAUUGGGAAGAACACCGGUGGCGAAGGCGGCUCACUGGCUCGUUUCUGACGCUGAGGCGCGAAAGCGUGGGGAGCAAACAGGAUUAGAUACCCUGGUAGUCCACGCCCUAAACGAUGAGUGCCAGGUGUCGGGAAGCUUAGCUUCUCGGCGCCGCAGCUAACGCCUUAAGCACUCCGCCUGGGGAGUACGGCCGCAAGGUUAAAACCUCAAAGGAAUUGACGG
rnacentral:rRNA from 1 species